GUCUAGCCUCAAGUUGUCACUCUCCCUGGGAUCCUGGGCAUCUUUCACUACCCCCAAAUUUCAGACAUUGGAGUCAGGACAGAGAGGUGUUAGGAACCCCAAUCUGAUUUGAACAGGCUUUCUAGAGGCAUAAUUGUGGCCAUUUACCAGUCUCUGUCCCUUGCAUCUGUAGAGCUGGUUGUAGUAGAGGCAGGGAUUCCCAAGAGCUAUCAGCAUCUUCAAAGCAGUGGUCUGUCUGAGACCUGAAGAUGCUCAGUAAAAGUUACCCUUACCACUUGGGGUCCUCAAGUGAGGCAAGGGUGGCUCCCCUCCACCCACACCUGCUGGUUUUAAGCAAGCCAGCUGCCAUGGAUGAAUAGGCAGAUAACAGCUGGCACCAUGUUAAACUUCUCAGGCAGGAGCCCCAACCAUCUCCUCUGUCCAUUUUGGUAGGUGGCACCUCUGAGCAUGAGAAGCUCUGCCGGGCCCGGGACCAGUGCCGGGAGAUUCUCAAGUAUGUGAAUGAAGCGGUAAAACAAACAGAGAAUCGCCACCGUUUAGAGGGCUACCAGAAACGCCUGGAUGCCACCGCUCUGGAGAGGGCCAGCAACCCCCUGGCAGCAGAGUUCAAGAGUCUGGAUCUUACAACCAGAAAAAUGAUCCAUGAGGGACCCCUGACCUGGAGAAUCAGCAAGGAUAAGACCUUGGACCUCCACGUGCUGCUGCUGGAGGACCUCCUGGUGCUGCUGCAGAAACAGGAUGAGAAGCUAUUGCUGAAGUGCCACAGCAAGACCACUGUGGGCUCCUCAGACAGCAAGCAGACCUUCAGCCCCGUGCUCAAGCUCAAUGCUGUGCUCAUCCGCUCUGUGGCCACAGAUAAACGGGCCUUCUUCAUCAUCUGCACCUCCAAGCUGGGCCCACCCCAGAUCUAUGAGCUGGUUGCAUUGACGUCAUCAGACAAGAACACAUGGAUGGAGCUCUUAGAAGAGGCCGUGCGGAAUGCCACCAGGCACCCUGGAGCUGCCCCGAUGCCUGUCCAUCCUCCACCCCCAGGUCCCCAGGAGCCAGUCCACCAGGGCCCCAUACCCAGCAGGGUAGAACUGGAUGACUCAGACGUGUUCCAUGGUGAACCCGAACCUGAGGAGCUGCCUGGCGGCACUGGGUCCCAGCAGAGGAUCCAAGGGAAGCACCCGGUCCUGCUAGAGGACCCUGAGCAGGAGGACAGUGCAGAGAAAGUGGAACUGGGUGUCCUGCCUUGCCCUUCCACAUCCCUGGAUGGAGAGAACAGGGGCAUCAGGACAAGGAACCCCAUCCACUUGGCCUUCCCAGGCCCUCUGUUCAUGGAAGGGCUUGCUGACUCCGCUCUGGAAGAUGGUGAGUGCUUCAAGGCCCUGCCGUCAGCCCCUGGUCCCCAGUCGCACACGCAAUGUGAACUGGCAGGCACCUGCACCCUCCACCUUCCCGAAGGCUCUUCCUGGUGUACUUGAGGAGAGAUGGAUGCAGAGACAGAUGUCAUUCCCCACCCAACCCCCACCAGCUAGUUGGCCAGAGCCCUCCAGCUUCACCUGUGCCUGAGGUCACCACCUUGGGGUCAGUGGGGCAGUACAGCGAUCCUUCUGGCGUGGUGUGCAGUCCCAUGCUGGGAAGACAUCACCCUGUUUCCCCUCCAGUGGAGAACCUGCGACACCUGAUCCUGUGGAGCCUGCUGCCAGGUCACACCAUGGAAACUCAGGCUGCUCAGGAACCCGAGGACGACCUGACACCCACACCUUCUGUCAUCAGCGUCACCUCUCACCCCUGGGACCCAGGCUCCCCAGGGCAAGCACCCCCUGGGGGUGAAGGGGACAACAUCCAGCUUGCAGGGCUGGAGGGGGAACGGCCAGAGCAGGAAGACAUGGGUCUCUGUUCUCUGGAACACCUACCCCCAAGGACCAGAAAUUCUGGGAUAUGGGAGUCUCCAGAACUGGACAGGAAUCUGGCUGAAGAUGCUUCAAGCACAGAGGCAGCAGGAGGUUAUAAAGUUGUGAGAAAAGGUAAAAUAAAUGGGAGUGUCCAGUGGGGAGACAAGCACCCUUGCUAGGUGAGAUAAGUCUUCCGAACAGCUGCUUCCUUCCCUAUACUCCCCCUGGGUACCGUGUGAGCAGAGACCUACGCUGGGUCCCGGAAGAAGGAGACAACGCCGAUAUCAGGCAGGCUUUGGAGUUGGACAUCCGAGAUUCAGAGCUUAGCUCUGCCACUUAAUAUCUGUGUGGCUUUAGACAAAAUUCUGAAUCAUCUCUGAGCUUCAUUUUGUAGCACAUAAGGACAUUUCUUUCUGCCUGGCACAAACCAACUACCAGUACCAGUCUCUGUUAGCACUCCUCACUGAUCUCCUGGUCCCAGGGAAAAGAGCCACUCUUCUCAGGAGCCUCAGGCCAGGAAAGACAGGGCAGGUGCUUGCAGCCCCUCAUGCCAGGCAACAGCUCCAAGGGCAGUAGAGGUGGCAGCUGGGACUGGAAGGGAUGGAGGACAAAGCUGGGAAGACAUUUGGCGAGUGAGGGGUGUGGGGAGUGAACAAGGUGGCAGGGAGGGCACCCCGGGUUGGGGAACACCAUGGGCGGCCUUGAGACAAGAAAAGCCAAGACAAGCUCACAGGGAGGCCGAUAGGUGAGCCCAGGGAGGAAGGUCCCCACCCCGGGAAGAGUGGGCUGGUCUGAGAGGGUGGCAAGAAAGGUAGAACAAAGCCUGGGGCACGCAUGGGAUGGGGUUCCACGCUAGUGGGCCUGCCCUCCCCUGGGAUUCCACUCUGCCUCCCUUCCAGCAGCAUUUUUCAUUCCAUCUGCCCGAGGGCCACCUGUCUCCUGGGUUUCUGGGAACUGACCUUCCUUCUCUGUCUCUCGGUGAAUUGGUGGAAAGUUCUCUGCACUGCCUGGGAUGUCAUCGUGUAUGAUCUUGUGUUUACCUUGUUCUUCCCGUUUUCUCCUCCCCCUGUCCCCACCUCCUGCUCUCUCUCCUUCCUGUUCUCUCUCCCUUCCCUUUCCUUGUCUUUUGGUCUCUCCUAUUCCUGGUGGUGGUGGUGUCGGUGCAGCUGAGGUGGCAGGCAGCAAGGUUGUCCCUGCACUACCAGAGAGUGGCCAGUCAGAGCCUGGGCCACCUGAAGUGGAAGGCGGAACAAAGGCUACGGGGAACUGCUUUUAUGUCAGCAUGCCAUCAGGACCCCUGGACUCAAGCACCGACCACUCAGGGGCACCCACGAGCCCCCCUCAGCCUGACAGCCUCCCUGCAGGGCAGACAGAGCCUCAGCCUCAGCUGCAGGGAGGCAACGGUGAUCCAAGACGCCCCAGCCACUCUCCCCCAAGCCUGGCCCUCAGGGACGUGGGCAUGAUCUUCCGUACCAUUGAGCAGCUCACCCUCAAGCUCAACAGGCUCAAGGAUAUGGAGCUGGCCCACAGAGAGCUGCUCAAGUCCCUUGGGGGAGAGUCAUCUGGUGGCACCACGCCUGUGGGCAGUUUCCACACAGAAGCAGCUAGAUGGACAGACGGCUCUCUCUCACCCCCCGCUAAGGAGCCCCUGGCUUCUGACUCCAGGAACAGCCAUGAACUGGGGCCCUGCCCUGAGGAUGGCUCUGACGCCCCCCUGGAAGACAGCGCAGCAGACGCAGCCGCGUCACCAGGACCAUAACCGUGCAAAACACCAAAUCCUCUGCAUCCCCACUCCUCCUUCAGGAACUGGCCUGAGACCGGGGCACAGGUUAGGGGGGAUCCCAACGCUCCUCCCUGUGGAGGAGGCAGUUGGGGAAACUAGGAUCCAGCCAAGGCCUGGGGGGAGACCCGCAUGUUGCUUGGUCUGCUUAAGUCGGAGUCAAGUUUCAGUGUCUUUUCCCUCCCUCAGCCCAACCCUCCAAGGCCUCAUGUCUCCUAAGCAUGCUGACUGCAUCCGAAAGGCCCCUACUCACCAUGGUCUGCCCUCACCCCACAUGUGCGUGUACCCGCGCACUCCUGUAUGUGCGCUGCCCUCAGAUGUGCAAGUGAAAGGAGGAGGCUUCUGUGUAAAUGCACUUUCUUCCUCCCCUCUUUCUCCAUAAGACCCCAGGUGGAGGUGGGUGCCUCCCCUCCCCUCUUUGUCACUUUGGUUUCCUAUAAAUAUGUAUGUAUCGUAUGUGCAUCUUUGCUAUUGUAAAUAACUUUGACCUUUUUUGUUCCUGUUCCUGAAGUGCUGGAGGCAGUUAUGGAAGGAGCUGCUUAGGGAAAAGGGGGUUCACUUGUAUCUCCUUAGUUAACAACCCAGCUCCAGGAUCGAGCCUAAAGCGGGAGCCAGGCCUGAGUGUCCCUGUCCCUGUGAGUGGGAAGGUCUUUUGGCUUCCCAUCCCACCUGGCUCCAGAGCCUGCCCUCCACAGCUUGCUGCCGAGCUACUCCCUCCCUCCCUGGACUUCUCAUCUUCACAAGAUGGGGACCAUGGGGGUUUCUUACCCCACCUAUGUCCCCCUUCCCCACCCUGUCCCUAUAGAAAACCAGUGAAGCAGGUACGGAGCUGAAGACUGGGCCCCAGGAGGUGGGGACGGGUCUGAAUGCUGAGUCCCUGAAUUCACCCAGGACCAUCCAAGGGGCCACCGCAGCAUUGGCCCCAUCACCACGUCCUCACCCAACUCUCCCUGAUGAAUAGAAUAUACACACUGUGCUAGGUGUAUAUAUACAUAUAUAUAUAUAAAUAUAUAUAUAAUAUAUAAAAUAUAGAUAUGGAAAUGACUGUUUUGCUGUUAAGAUAAUGUAUACUCUUUUAUUUUCUUCCUUUCAUGGUUAAGAUUUUUUUUUUAAGAAAAGUUAAAUAUU
rnacentral:sRNA from 1 species